rnacentral:rRNA from 1 species
ACAAUGGCAGGUACAGCGGGAAGCCAUAUGGCGACAUAGAGCGGAACCCGAAAACCUGUCUCAGUUCGGAUUGGAGUCUGCAACCCGACUCCAUGGAGCUGGAUUCGCUAGUAAUCGCGCAUCAGCCACGGCGCGGUGAAUACGUUCCCGGGCCUUGUACACACCGCCCGUCAAGCCAUGGGAGCCGGGGGUACCUGAAGUGCGUGACCGCAAGGAGCGCCCUAAGGUAAAACCGGUGACUGGGGCUAAGUCGUAACAAGGUAAC